rnacentral:rRNA from 1 species
CCUACGGGGGUGCUGCAGUGGGGAAUAUUGGACAAUGGGCGAAAGCCUGAUCCAGCCAUGCCGCGUGUGUGAAGAAGGCCUUCGGGUUGUAAAGCACUUUCAGUGGGGAAGAAAGCCUUGGGGCUAAUACCCUCGAGGAAGGACAUCACCCACAGAAGAAGCACCGGCUAACUCCGUGCCAGCAGCCGCGGUAAUACGGAGGGUGCGAGCGUUAAUCGGAAUUACUGGGCGUAAAGCGCGCGUAGGCGGUCUGAUAAGCCGGUUGUGAAAGCCCCGGGCUCAACCUGGGAACGGCAUCCGGAACUGUCAGGCUAGAGUGCAGGAGAGGAAGGUAGAAUUCCCGGUGUAGCGGUGAAAUGCGUAGAGAUCGGGAGGAAUACCAGUGGCGAAGGCGGCCUUCUGGACUGACACUGACGCUGAGGUGCGAAAGCGUGGGUAGCAAACAGGAUUAGAUACCCGGGUAGUC